rnacentral:rRNA from 1 species
UACGUAGGUGGCAAGCGUUAUCCGGAAUUAUUGGGCGUAAAGAGGGAGCAGGCGGCAACAAAGGUCUGUGGUGAAAGACUGAAGCUUAACUUCAGUAAGCCAUAGAAACCGGGCAGCUAGAGUGCAGGAGAGGAUCGUGGAAUUCCAUGUGUAGCGGUGAAAUGCGUAGAUAUAUGGAGGAACACCAGUGGCGAAGGCGACGAUCUGGCCUGCAACUGACGCUCAGUCCCGAAAGCGUGGGGAGCAAAUAGG